GAUGAACGCUGGCGGCGUGCCUAAUACAUGCAAGUCGAGCGAACGGACGAGAAGCUUGCUUUUCUGAUGUUAGCGGCGGACGGGUGAGUAACACGUGGAUAACCUACCUAUAAGACUGGGAUAACUUCGGGAAACCGGAGCUAAUACCGGAUAAUAUUUUGAACCGCAUGGUUCAAAAGUGAAAGACGGUCUUGCUGUCACUUAUAGAUGGAUCCGCGCUGCAUUAGCUAGUUGGUAAGGUAACGGCUUACCAAGGCAACGAUGCAUAGCCGACCUGAGAGGGUGAUCGGCCACACUGGAGCUGAGACACGGUCCAGACGCCUACGGGAGGCAGCAGUAGGGAAUCUUCCGCAGUGGGCGAAAGCCUGACGGAGCAACGCCGCGUGAGUGAUGAAGGUCUUCGGAUCGUAAAACUCUGUUAUUAGGGAAGAACAUAUGUGUAAGUAACUGUGCACAUCUUGACGGUACCUGAUCAGAAAGCCACGGCUAACUACGUG
rnacentral:rRNA from 1 species